ACAUGCAAGUCGAACGGCAGCGCGGGGCAACCUGGCGGCGAGUGGCGAACGGGUGAGUAAUAUAUCGGAACGUACCCUGGAGUGGGGGAUAACGUAGCGAAAGUUACGCUAAUACCGCAUACGAUCUAAGGAUGAAAGUGGGGGAUCGCAAGACCUCAUGCUCCUGGAGCGGCCGAUAUCUGAUUAGCUAGUUGGUGGGGUAAAGGCCUACCAAGGCAUCGAUCAGUAGCUGGUCUGAGAGGACGACCAGCCACACUGGAACUGAGACACGGUCCAGACUCCUACGGGAGGCAGCAGUGGGGAAUUUUGGACAAUGGGCGAAAGCCUGAUCCAGCAAUGCCGCGUGAGUGAAGAAGGCCUUCGGGUUGUAAAGCUCUUUUGUCAGGGAAGAAACGGUGAGGGCUAAUAUCCCUUGCUAAUGACGGUACCUGAAGAAUAAGCACCGGCUAACUACGUGCCAGCAGCCGCGGUAAUACGUAGGGUGCAAGCGUUAAUCGGAAUUACUGGGCGUAAAGCGUGCGCAGGCGGUUUUGUAAGUCUGUCGUGAAAUCCCCGGGCUCAACCUGGGAAUUGCGAUGGAGACUGCAAGGCUAGAAUCUGGCAGAGGGGGGUAGAAUUCCACGUGUAGCAGUGAAAUGCGUAGAGAUGUGGAGGAACACCGAUGGCGAAGGCAGCCCCCUGGGUCAAGAUUGACGCUCAUGCACGAAAGCGUGGGGAGCAAACAGGAUUAGAUACCCUGGUAGUCCACGCCCUAAACGAUGUCUACUAGUUGUCGGGUUUUAAUUAACUUGGUAACGCAGCUAACGCGUGAAGUAGACCGCCUGGGGAGUACGGUCGCAAGAUUAAAACUCAAAGGAAUUGACGGGGACCCGCACAAGCGGUGGAUGAUGUGGAUUAAUUCGAUGCAACGCGAAAA
rnacentral:rRNA from 1 species